rnacentral:rRNA from 1 species
CUGGAACUGAGACACGGUCCAGACUCCUACGGGAGGCAGCAGUGGGGAAUAUUGCACAAUGGGCGCAAGCCUGAUGCAGCCAUGCCGCGUGUGUGAAGAAGGCCUUCGGGUUGUAAAGCACUUUCAGCGGGGAGGAAGGCGUUAAGGUUAAUAACCUUGGCGAUUGACGUUACCCGCAGAAGAAGCACCGGCUAACUCCGUGCCAGCAGCCGCGGUAAUACGGAGGGUGCAAGCGUU